UUUUAUAUUAGUUUGAUAUCAGACACAAUGCAAUGUUUCUAGAGUUGUUGUUUGCAGGUCGACUACACAAGUGUAAUCGGCACUAUUGGUAGAAUCCAAAAAUGAUCCUUCCGCAGGUUCACCUACGGAAA
rnacentral:misc_RNA from 1 species